rnacentral:rRNA from 1 species
UGGGGAAUUUUGGACAAUGGGCGAAAGCCUGAUCCAGCAAUGCCGCGUGUGUGAAGAAGGCCUUCGGGUUGUAAAGCACUUUUGUCCGGAAAGAAAUCCUUGGCUCUAAUACAGUCGGGGGAUGACGGUACCGGAAGAAUAAGCACCGGCUAACUACGUGCCAGCAGCCGCGGUAAUACGUAGGGUGCAAGCGUUAAUCGGAAUUACUGGGCGUAAAGCGUGUGCAGGCGGUUUGCUAAGACCGAUGUGAAAUCCCCGGGCUCAACCUGGGAACUGCAUUGGUGACUGGCAGGCUAGAGUAUGGCAGAGGGGGGUAGAAUUCCACGUGUAGCAGUGAAAUGCGUAGAGAUGUGGAGGAAUACCGAUGGCGAAGGCAGCCCCCUGGGCCAAUACUGACGCUCAUGCACGAAAGCGUGGGGAGCAAACAGGAUUAGAUACCCUGGUAGUCCACGCCCUAAACGAUGUCAACUAGUUGUUGGGGAUUCAUUUCCUUAGUAACGUAGCUAACGCGUGAAGUUGACCGCCUGGGGAGUACGGUCGCAAGAUUAAAACUCAAAUGAAUUGACGGGGUCAUAGCUGUUUCCU